AGAGUUUGAUCCUGGCUCAGAUUGAACGCUGGCGGCAGGCCUAACACAUGCAAGUCGAGCGCGAAAAUUCCUUCGGGGAUGAUUAGAGCGGCGGACGGGUGAGUAACGCGUAAGAAUCUGCCCGGUAGUGGGGGACAACAGUCGGAAACGACUGCUAAUACCGCAUACGCCCUAAGGGGGAAAGCAGGGGAUCUUCGGACCUUGCGCUAUUGGAUGAGCCUAUGUCGGAUUAGCUAGUUGGUAGGGUAAAGGCCUACCAAGGCGACGAUCCGUAGCUGGUCUGAGAGGAUGAUCAGCCACAUCGGGACUGAGACACGGCCCGAACUCCUACGGGAGGCAGCAGUGGGGAAUAUUGGACAAUGGGCGCAAGCCUGAUCCAGCCAUGCCGCGUGUGUGAAGAAGGCUCUAGGGUUGUAAAGCACUUUCAGUAGGGAGGAAAGGUUAGUAGUUAAUAUCUGCUAACCCUGACGUUACCUACAGAAGAAGCACCGGCAAACUCCGUGCCAGCAGCCGCGGUAAUACGGAGGGUGCGAGCGUUAAUCGGAAUUACUGGGCGUAAAGCGCGCGUAGGCGGUUUGAUAAGCUGGAUGUGAAAGCCCUGGGCUCAACCUGGGAACUGCAUCCAGAACUGUCUGACUAGAGUACAGUAGAGGUGAGUGGAAUUUCCUGUGUAGCGGUGAAAUGCGUAGAUAUAGCCAUGGAACAUCAGUGGUCCAAACGCGGUCUCACUGCACUGAUACUGACGCCUGAGGAUGCUCAAAGCCGUGGUGUAGCUAAACAUGGUAUUUAGAUACGCUGCUAGAUCCCACCGCCCCGCCAAAACGAUUGGUUCCUACUUAGCCCGUUUUUGAGGGAUAUC
rnacentral:rRNA from 1 species